UUAAAAAAAAAAAUCUUUUCACGAUUUAAACAGUUACGUGACGAAUCUGCCGUUUCGAAACGAGAUGCCGCUUCCUUGCUGGAAAGUAGCGGCAGGAGGCGUGAACCGCUGAAGGGAGGGGUCACAUGGGCUGCGGGGGCGGGGCGUUCUUGGCCCGCGUGGCGCCAUGAGGGGAUUCACGUGGUGAGGACGCGCGCGCCUCGGUUUGGCUGAAGGAAAAUCCCCAGUGGACUGGCUAGCGCUUUCAUGUUGCGGGAGCAGCGUCUAGGAUCUUCCCUUACAAAUAAACAUUUGGUAGGAUUAGUCCCCGGUGCGCAAAGGAUGGUGCUUGACAGGCGAGCAACUUGUUAUAGGAAGGUAGAGCAGAGGUUGCUGUUAAAUAUACACACUAGUGCAUGAUCUCUGUAAUCAUGCGUGGCAAGCAGAAAUUAAACCGCAAAGAAGUGUGCUUCAGUAUUGGCUUCCAAAGGCGAUUCAGGAAUCAGGAUACUGCUUGGGCACAAGAUUGCCCUCAGCCAAAGUGUUUCAUGAUAAGCUUUUAGAAAAACAACAACACAGUAGCACUCUACUAUGUAUGCAUCAGGUUAAGAUCCUCAAGGGUGCACACAGGGAUAACCUGCAGCUGUCAAGUCCCCUGGAAGUAUAGUCUGGAACAGCCUUGUAAUUAAAACAUUCAGCUGGUAAUUAACAUGGAAUUGCAUGCAGGUGAAUGAGUACUCAAUCAUUUCUUUGUGCCCAGCAGAGAGAACAAGUGGUUUGAGUUCUUCAACGGCCAACCCACAGCAGGUUGAAGAAUUUUUUAUUUUUGAAAAAUGAACUAGGUUACAGCUCGUUUGUCUGGAGCAGAUAAAGUCAAAUCAGCAGCAGAACCAGAAGAGGAGUAGGUGCAGCCUCUUCUUCAGGAAGUCCACACAUCACACUAAACCAAGGUUUAGCUUAGCAUUAUUUGUGAACUGAGCCACUGUUUCCAGAAAAGACUAUUUGAAAGAUCUUACCUGAUCUAUAUCAAGUUGGCUCACUCUGCUCAAUCCACUUUUAAAAUCGAAGUUAGGAUCUGAAUUGAAGGUAUCUUGGAAUUUUAAAAAAUGACAAUAGUUAUUUGUAGGUACAAAACAAGCUUUCAAAAUGUAUAACAUAAAACAAUUUAUAGGACUGUAGCCUAUGUGCCAUAGAGAGCACUUUCAGCUUAGUAAAUAUGAUAGGAUUGUGCUUUAAGAUUUCUAGCUUGUUUUGUCUAUACAGUAAUCGCCUCUCUAUACCGUAUCAUCUUCCUAUCCUAAUUUUUCACCAAAACAUACAGGUAGAAGUGACUUACUUGUCCCAGGCAACCAAACUGGUUUUCCUUUAAGUCAACCUCUAGCUUUCAACUUGGCGAAGCCACGAUCUGAAUUUCUGUGACUUGUAUGCAGGUGCAACAUUAAUACACCUGGCUUUAGCUGGUGGCAUCAUUAAGCUUCCGCAACCCACAAAUCAGUGCCAUAAAAUAUCUGAACAUAUGGGGGCACAGACAAAGAUUCCACACUAUAUGGGAAAAAGCUAGUCAACUCUUUCUUUUGAACUGGGAGGAAACAUGACUUGGGAAAUCUGAACCUUGUUGGUGGAAUCUCUCCCCAUCAAACUCCCUUAUCAAUGUUACCUGUCACCCAUCUACCACCCCCAUAAAACUACUUAGCUAGCCCCCAAAGGACUCCUCCUGAAAGGACCUAUUGAGUUCACCUCUUGAGGAGGUAGCUCAAAACUUUACAAGAUUCAACAAGUUUGCUGAACUUAAAAUAAUAAAGUACUUCAGUGUACAUUUUGUUGAACAAGA